rnacentral:rRNA from 1 species
UACAGAGGUCCCAAGCGUUGUUCGGAUUCACUGGGCGUAAAGGGUGCGUAGGCGGUCGGGUAAGUCUGACGUGAAAUCUUCAAGCUCAACUUGGAAACUGCGUCGGAUACUAUUCGGCUAGAGGAAUGGAGGGGAGACUGGAAUACUUGGUGUAGCAGUGAAAUGCGUAGAUAUCAAGUGGAACACCGGUGGCGAAGGCGGCAUUCUGGACCAAUACUGACGCUGAGGAGCGAAAGCCAGGGGAGCAAACGGG